rfam:Fusobacterium nucleatum subsp. vincentii ATCC 49256 Contig0375, whole genome shotgun sequence.
UUUCCUUUUAAGAGAGUCCAGAGAGGCUAGCAAGGGUGUGAAAGGCUAUUUUUAGUCUAUAUUUUUGUGUAAUUUACCUAAAACCUCUGGUUUUAGGUUUUUUUAUA